UACGGAGGGUGCAAGCGUUAUCCGGAUUCACUGGGUUUAAGGGGUGCGUAGGCGGGUUGGUAAGUCCGUGGUGAAAUCUCCGAGCUUAACUCGGAAACUGCCGUGGAUACUAUCAAUCUUGAAUAUCGUGGAGGUAAGCGGAAUAUGUCAUGUAGCGGUGAAAUGCUUAGAUAUGACAUAGAACACCAAUUGCGUAGGCAGCUUACUACACGAUCAUUGACGCUGAGGCACGAAAGCGUGGGGAGCAAACAGG
rnacentral:rRNA from 1 species